AGUAGGAACGGGGACGAAGAGCAGAACGGCCACGGCUGGGAAGUGCUGUGACGGGGCGUGGGGUGUUUGUGGCGUGGGUGACGCGAACACCGCUCGGCAGGGCCGGGAAGAAAGCCCCGAGCCGUGGCUGCUGCGGGUGGCUGCUGGUGCCUGGCCCGUGGUCAGUCCCCGGGGCUGGGAGCUGCACGGUGAUGCCGUUUGUCCGGACGGCUCAACAGGUCAACCGGGCCUUUUAUUUCCCGGAGAGCUAUUUUCUCCACGCUGCUGCCGGUGAUAGGCACUUCUACCUUCUGCUUCCCCAGCACAGCUGCUGAGUAAUCAUCUGGAACGAACGGAAACAAUACAGGGCACCAACAGCGAGGAUCACCGCUGGCAAUCAGGGACAUGCAUCACUUUGAGGAAGAGUUAACGUGUUCCAUCUGCUACAGCCUGUUUACAGAUCCCCGUGUUCUGCCUUGUUCCCAUACAUUCUGUAGAAAUUGUCUGGAAGGUGUUCUUGAUCUGUCAGGCAACUUUUCCAUUUGGAGACCCUUGAGAAUUCUUCUGAAGUGUCCAAACUGUAGGAGCGUUGUUGAGAUUCCUGACUCUGGCACUGAAUCGCUGCCUAUCAACUUUGCACUGAAGUCUAUUAUUGAGAAAUACCGUCAGGAAGAUCAUUCUGAUGUUGCAACUUGCAGUGAACAUUAUAGGCAGCCGCUGAACGUUUACUGUCUUUUGGAUAAAAAAAUGGUGUGUGGCCAUUGCCUUACAAUAGGAAAACACAACGGGCAUCCCAUAGAUGACCUUUACAGUGCCUACAUAAAAGAGAAGCAGUCUUCUGGAAAAAUUCUUGAGCAACUGACUGACAAACACUGGGUUGAUGUAUAUUUGCUUAUUGAAAAGCUGAAAGAACAGAAAUCCCAGUGUGAAAGCGUUGUUCAAGAUGAUAAAAAAGUAGUGGUUCUGUACUUUAAGAAACUUAGCGAUACGUUGGAGCAUAAAAAACAAGCUCUGCUCUCUGCACUGGAUGAAAUCAACAGACAGGUUUUGGAAGAGUAUGAUCCUCUCAUUGAGAAUUUAAAAAAAAUGAGGGAAGAACAGCUUGAAUUAAUGUCACUGAACACGUCUAUUCAGAAAGAAGAGUCCCCACUUGUUUUUCUGGAGAAGGUGGAUGGUGUAUAUCAACGGAUAAAGGCUUUGAAAGAGAAGCAGCUACCGGAUGUUAAACCUGUUGAGAUUUACCCCAGGGUUGGGCACCUGUUGAAGGAUGUGUGGUCUAAAACCGAAAUUGGUCAGAUCAACAAGAUCCUUACUCCAAAAAUAAAACUGAUUCCAAAAAGGAAAUUACAGAGCAAAAGCAAGGAAAAAGAAAGAGGAAAAUCUAAAGAACUCCUCCAGGCUGUAAAUCCUCUAACAGUCAUGCUUCUUUUUGUAACAGUAGCCAUAGCUCUGUUUGCAUUUCCCAAACUGGUGUGGUCAUUUGGAAUUGAAACUGUUCCCACUUACAUUUCAGAAUUCUUGCUAUCUAUUUAUCAAGGUUUUUGUGCUCAGUUGCAGACUAUAGUGGAUGUGCUGUGCCGUAAAUUUAAUCUACUGGUGAGGUUUUUAGGGAUGAUUGUUCCUCUUUGGCUAUUUCAAUGAUUAAAUUAGAACUUACUGCAGGAAUCCCCAAGAUUUAUUUUUAAUCGACGUUUCUACUUAAUAGCUGGGUUGUUAAAACUAUACGCUUUUUCUUUCUUUUCCAUAUUCUUCCUUUUUCUGUAUAGGUUUCAUCAUUUAACUCUUAGUUAAAUGAGAAGAUUUAUAACCAAAAAGAUGUGUUCAUCUGCUCGCACAGCAAGUAGGUAGGUGGUUGGUAAAACUGGAAGCUAGGCAGAAGUAAUGUCUGUGAGGAAGCUAUAGGCAGCCCCCUGAUUGUAAAAACUCCUCAACCCUCUACGUUUUUUUAAUGAUAACAUAAUCUAAUUAUGUUUCUAAUAAAAACACCACAACAUUAAAAGUUUAAAAAAAGCACCUCAGGCUGCAAAGUGGCUGGUCCUAGACAAGUCAGUCGGUUACAAGCUCUGGUGUACGUAAAGCUUGCAUUUAGUGUUUUAUUGACCUCUUUCUAAAGGUAAUUUAACUGACAUACCUGAUCUGUAGUCUUUAAGUCAUAUAUUAAUGGACCUCGUUUUCAUUUUGUAUGUUCCUGGUUACUAGUGCCAUGAUUUCAUCCUUUUUUAUAAUCUGUAUUUUUUAAAUCUCUUUUAAAUAGUUAUCUCCAGUUUACAGAGCAGUAUCUGCAGGACUUGUGGUAAAGUAUUGCAUGCAGGUUUUAGUGCCACCUACGCACAAAUCAGGUAUUUAUUUAGGCUAACGGGGAAUUUGCACCACUUCCUAAAAAGAGCCUUGAAUUUUUGCUGAAAGAAUUAAUAUGUGGUGAAAAUAGAUACAUAUUGCAGAAAGUAGCAAAAUUCCCUAUGAAAUCGGUGGUGUAAGGAUUUCAAAUGUCAAGAGCCCUUAAACAACUUGAAAAUGAGUAAAUUUUCAGGCUUUCAGCACAAAUAAUGGAGGUCUUUACCUUGACCUAGGAGAAAAAAUGACAGCAUUUUGUUCUGCAAUCAAAUAAUCAGUACCAUGCUUUACUUCUUUUGAAGAGGUACUAAGCUGUGCUCAGAAAAAUUCACAAUGGCAGCAGCCCUUGACCUUCAGUUGUUACCGAGUCAGCUGUAAUCAAACAGCCUUUAAGCGCUGCCGUUAGAACAGCAGAACACAGAGGAGUUUACAAUGAACUAACGAUUUAUAAAAACCAAAAAUGGGCUCUAUAUAUGUCUAAUUUUGACUUCAUAAACAUAAUAGUGCGUUUUAGGAUAGCAGCAUUCCUUGGGUGCUUGAUUUAUUAUUAUUUAAAAAGAUACGAGUUGUUUAAAUAGUGAUUUAGUUCUGUGGGUAGCCUUUCGCUACGUGACACGUUAAAACCCGUGCGCAAACCCAAACUUGUGUGUUGCUACCAGCAGACACCGGUGGGGGCUCCUGCGAAACAGCAACCGCUGCCACUGACUGCAGCGAGAGGUGAGAGCCAGCUCAGGCCCCCGAUGUGAUGCUGGUGUGUUCCUUAAGCCUAAGUGAAGUCUGACGAAUACUGAUGUCCUGCUGUUGCUGCAUUGCUAAAAUGUGAAGUGUAACCGAAGGGCUGUUGUGCAGCACCCUUCUGCAGCUUGGGGGUUUCUGUUGUGUGGAUUGGACUGAAAGGUGUGAACAAGCAGUGCUCCAGGGGAGUGGGCCUUUGCCUGUUUCUGUAAUUUGGACGUGCCUUUUAGCGUUACAGAGUCAAAUCCCAGUGAUACCACUGGUCAGGCUUUGAAAUAGUGUGUAGGUAUAUCCUGGGACUGGAUAAAGCGGCACAUUGAUUUCCCAGUAACACUUUGGAAUCGGGCUGGUUGUUUGUCUCUAAAGCCCUGCUAGAAGGCUGGCAUUUGGCAUGUAAGUCUCUGAAAUCCUGGUGCUAACUGUAUGCCUACUACCACGAGGCUUCUUUUUUGACUUACCUGCCUGUCCUUUAUUUUCCUAACUUUUAAAAAUCUUAUGAAAAGUUUAUAAUGAAAUUUUAUUUUUCCAGACAACACGAAUUUAUAAGAUGCCUUUAUCACUGAUUGAAACAUUUAGUACUUGUACUUAUGUACUAUCUAUUUUAAUAAAUGCACAUACAAAUAAAAUGUAUUCUUACAUUA